AGUGAACGCUGGCGGUAGGCCUAACACAUGCAAGUCGAACGGCAGCACAGUAAGAGCUUGCUCUUACGGGUGGCGAGUGGCGGACGGAUGAGGAAUACAUCGGAAUCUACUUUUUCGUGGGGGAUAACGUAGGGAAACUUACGCUAAUACCGCAUACGACCUACGGGUGAAAGCAGGGGAUCUUCGGACCUUGCGCGAUUGAAUGAGCCUAUGUCGGAUUAGCUAGUUGGCGGGGUAAAGGCCCACCAAGGCGACGAUCCGUAGCUGGUCUGAGAGGAUGAUCAGUCACACUGGAACUUAGACACGGUCCAGACUCCUACGCGAGGCAGCAGUAGGGAAUAUUGGACAAUGGGCGAAAGCCUGAUCCAGCCAUGCCGCGUGAGUGAAGAAGGUCUUCGGAUUGUAAAGCACUUUAAGUGGGGAGGAAGGGCAGUAAGUUAAUACCUUGCUGUUUUGACGUUACCAACAGAAUAAGCACCGGCUAACUUCGUG
rnacentral:rRNA from 1 species